AUCUCAGAGAGACAGGGAAGCCCAUGGGCCUUGUCGUGGCCGGUGCGCACGUGAGGCAGGCUUGCUGCCUUGCUGGAACCUAGACUCUUUGAGUCCUUGUCGCGUGAAGCCGUGAGACAGACAGAAGCCCAGAACUUAAACCUGGAAGCCUGGAGGAUGGAACGGGUACUAGCUUGCUAGGGUUCGUGUCCGGCGGCGGCGACUGCAGCUGGAACGCCGGCGGCGCAGCUCAGUGGAUGCUCCCAUCGACCAUUCCCAGGUUGUAGUCUUGUGAUCUUGUCCUUGGAGGUACACACAAAGACUGGUAGACACAGACGACCUCUGCCGAUGGCUGGUGCCCCAAAAGCUCGACUUGUAUAUAAUUGCAAGUUAUAGAUUAUAUUGCAUACAGGUGACAUAUUAGUUUAUAUGUAUUUUUCAGUGUUUUUAUAUCUAAUUUUAGAGGAGCAGACUGUUCAACCAAUGAUGGCAGGUGGUCGUGUACUUGAUCCAUUUUGUACUCGCCUUGACCCUACCAUGGUAGAAGCACUGGUCUGCACCAAAGAUUGGAUAGCUGGAGCAAGAAAAGGUUAUAUAGUAGUACCUUAUAUUUAUUUACAAUUUAAUUAGUCAUUAGUUGUGAUCAAUUUGUAAUAUUGUGAACUUGUGAUCUUUGUGAUCAACCUGUUAUAUUGUGAACUUGUGAUCUUUGUGUUCAACUUGUUAUACUGUGAAUUGUGAAUUUGUGGUCUUUGUGAUAUUUGUAAACUUUGUUGUAUUGUGAACUUGUUAUAUUGAGAUAUUUUCAUAUUUAUAUGGUUACCGAUUGUAA